rnacentral:lncRNA from 1 species
GUUAGUUAACAGAUCUGGUGACACUACAUUAGAGUCUAUAUGGCAAAAUGAUCUCAUUAGACUACCGUAAUCUUAUAAGACAUGACAUCAUCGUACAAUGUUAAGCGAUAUCUGUCAAACCUCCACCCUUUUAUUCCUUUUACGCUUUUACGUAGAAAGCCUAAAACUGUAAGGGAAAAUUAAAACUACUGGAUGAACGACAUCAGUCAAUCGGGUUUUGCGAUAGCAUCGAAAACGGGUGUAACCAACUAAGAAAGUAGUUUUGCUUUUCGACAAGUUUUCCGACAUUAGCGGCAUCUAGCGGUAAAUACAUUUAAUGGCCCCUUUUGUUUUUAGUUCAAAAAGGCAGAUGGCACAUGACUUGUCCAAUUUUCCAUAUUUGAAGUGUCAAAUGGCGUUCCGUACUGAGGUUUCUAUUAUGUAUAUUUUUUGUUGUUACAGUUGAUGUCGAUCGAAAGGCGUUUUACAGUUGCUUCUCCUUGAAUUGGUUGCAUCUAGACAUUUUCAAUUUGGAUCUGUUCCCUGUCUAUAAAAAUGUAUUGAUCAGAAAAUAUUUUAUAUUGAUAGUGUCUUCUUGAGAGGGCUCGAGAUGUACUGAAAUUCUACCUCUCAAUUACCGAAGGUGAUUACUUGACAUUUGUGUUUAAAAACAUCUUUGUUUACUUGUUUCAAACUAUUGUGCUGUUUCUGCUUGAGUUCAAGAAGAGCGAGGAGAUUCAAUAACCAGAAUGAAGCACAUAAACAUCCCUAAAAUAGGAUUGCAACAUUAAGUGCCAACUGCAUGUCAUUUCAAAUUCAGAAGAACAAGAAUUAAAAAACAAAAACAAAAAAACAUUGGAUAAAACAGGGAUCAUAAGGUUGAACAAACUUACAACUCUGACUUGAAGGUUUGCUGAUAUUUGACAACAUUGUUGGCUUUUCAAUGUAGAUGAUAUGAAUCAAAGUUAAAUUUACACAAACAAGACAUUGGCAAUGACUAUUCAUACAUUAACUGCAGUCACAGACUUAUUGUCAGUACUAGAAACGAAUUCCAUUCAUACCGCUGCCGUUCCAAUGAUGAAUGAAACCAAUGAUACGUUCGUACUCGAGGAACUUAUGUCUCAUCGUAUCUUUCAAGGUAACGUCAGAUCAUUUGAACCGUGGAAUUGAAUUUACUCAAAGGGAAGAGAACCCAGAACCCAAACGGUCGAUGCAUUGAAAAUGUCGGACCCCUGUUGAUGAAGUUUCAACAGCACUCUUCCACAAGACGCACGCGAAGCAAACGAUAGCGAAAGAGAUAUGGACUUGAAUUUGUUGUUUACAACCCAUGGCUUUCCCGCAUUCCAGGAUUAGUCUUAUACACCUUCUGCACUUCUACAGAGCGUUCGGGAACGAAAUUAGUUGUGGAUGGGUUUGCUGUUGACAAGCAAGGGAAGGAUUUUUUACCAAAGUAGACAGGAUAUUUAUUCUAAAUCCCACAAUGUCCUGGUAAUAAAUUACUACAAAUCAUACUGAAUUAGAAUAGGAUUUUGACUGAAAGUGGAUGCCAAAACAAUGGAUGAUAAUUGGAAGCGCGAUUGGAAAUAUCUAUGAUUUAUUAACGUUGUCUCAUGUUACGGUAUUUUAUUAAAGACAAAUUUAAGUGCA